rnacentral:lncRNA from 1 species
CAAGAAACAGAUCCUAAACCUGUUUUGUUUUAUUUUUGGUAGUAGUUGUUUAUUUUUGAAAACAUUCAAACCACCUGUAUUGGUGGCUGUUAUUAUGAAAUAAAUAAACUGAGAAACAACAAGACAAUUUGGCCUCUACAAUUUGUUUAGUUUUGACUAAGUAUUUGCCUUGGAAGAAGUAUGUGUACAAUACUCAUUUUUAAAAGAUGCAACAGUCACCUCGUUACUUGGAGUUUUACUUGAGACUUGAAUGGACUGAAACCACCUGGUCACCACUAGAAGCUACAUCAAGGAAAAGAAAGGCAACAUAUUGAAUCUCUUGGGAGAAACUCAUCCUGUAUCUGCUCGAUUGAAAACAUGAAGGUGCACAUUCCAAGCUGCAUAUGCUCAGGUCCGAGUUUCCAAGGAAACAAGGGACUGCUCAUCUAUCUGCAAAACUGAACUGACGAGUCACUUUCAGCUUGUUACAAACCUUGAUUCUGAAUCAAAUUCUAGUGUGCAGUCUAAAAAUUCUCACUGCCUUGUCAUUUCUGCCGAGCAAACCCCUGAUGCUAUGAGGCUGGCAGUUGGGCAGGGAUUUUCCUGGGUUGUGCACUCUAAUUUUUUCCUCUGCACUGUUAGUGAAAUACUGUCAUUGAGAACCAGCUCCACACUGCACCUAUGUGAGAAAGGCCUUGGUUUCUAUCAGUAAAGUCAGACAGGGCUAUGUGCAUUUGGGAUGCCCUGGUCAACCAUACAGGAGGAAGCACAGUGGUCUUCCCAGCUCUCACAGUGGCCACCAGCUCUCAGGCUCACAAACUAGGCAAAGCAAAGAGCAACAGAACAACCUACUUCCCAACUUUCAUUAGUCACUCAAAUCCAAGUGGGUGAUCGUAUUUCUGAAGGUCUUGAAUACAGG